AUCCUUCUGAGUUCAGAAGAAAUGAUGAAUCGGGUUAUCACGUACUGAUACGUGAGACAUGUCGCCGUUAACCUUGUUACGACAUACGACAUGACACCCUGUCUGAUU